rnacentral:rRNA from 1 species
GACGAACGCUGGCGGCGUGCUUAACACAUGCAAGUCGAACGGAAAGGCCCUGCUUUUGUGGUGUGCUCGAGUGGCGAACGGGUGAGUAACACGUGAGUAACCUGCCCUUGACUUUGGGAUAACUUCAGGAAACUGGGGCUAAUACCGGAUAUGAGCUCCUGCUGCAUGGGGGGGGUUGGAAAUUUUCGGCGGUUGGGGAUGGACUCGCGGCUUAUCAGCUUGUUGGUGGGGUAGUGGCUUACCAAGGCUUUGACGGGUAGCCGGCCUGAGAGGGUGACCGGCCACAUUGGGACUGAGAUACGGCCCAGACUCCUACGGGAGGCAGCAGUGGGGAAUAUUGCACAAUGGGCGGAAGCAUGAUGCAGCAACGCCGCGUGCGGGAUGACGGCCUUCGGGUUGUAAACCGCUUUCGCCUGUGACGAAGCGUGAGUGACGGUAAUGGGUAAAGAAGCACCGGCUAACUACGUG